rnacentral:rRNA from 1 species
UACGGAGGGUGCAAACGUUGCUCGGAAUCAUUGGGCGUAAAGCGCACGUAGGCGGUCGGCUAUGUCGGAUGUGAAAGCCUCGGGCUUAACCCGAGAAGUGCAUCCGAAACUGGCCGGCUUGAGUACGGAAGAGGGUCUCGGAAUUCCCGGUGUAGAGGUGAAAUGCGCAGAUAUCGGGAGGAACACCGGUGGCGAAGGCGGUUCUCUGGGCCUUACCUGACGCUGAGGCGCGAAAGCGUGGGGAGCGAACAGG